rnacentral:misc_RNA from 1 species
UUGAAUGCUAUGGGAAUGUCCUCAGCAAGGGGCAAAUCGCAGAGUUCCCUCACAAACUUCCCAUCAGUUGUCCAUAGUUCUACCUUUUUGGGAAACCUACCACAUGGUACAAUAAAAGAGUAUGGCCUGUGAAUAGAACUAAUCAAAAGGUACUUCUGAUCUGGGGAAGGGUCCAUUGAUGUAUACACAGCCGGUGGACCAAUUUCCUUCACUGUCCCAUCCAAAGAUACCAAUACAAGUUGUGAGGUAGCAUAGUAGUCAAAUAAAUCUUCAUCAUACUCAUCUUUCAGCAAAUCCUGGAAGGUUCGAACUUGAACAACAUUUCUUGUCUCAUUAGAUUGAAUCUUUGGACCAGAGGGAACCAAAGGUU